rnacentral:rRNA from 1 species
UACGUAGGUGACAAGCGUUGUCCGGAUUUACUGGGUGUAAAGAGCGCGCAGGCGGUCGUUCAAGUCGAGUGUGAAAGCCCCCGGCUCAACUGGGGAGGGUCACUCGAUACUGAUCGACUCGAAGGCAGGAGAGGGAAGUGGAAUUCCCGGUGUAGUGGUGAAAUGCGUAGAUAUCGGGAGGAACACCAGUGGCGAAGGCGACUUCCUGGCCUGUUCUUGACGCUGAGGCGCGAAAGCUAGGGGAGCAAACGGG